UCCUCAUUUUAAAACACCACCGCACGCCACCGAUAUAUAUAUACAAAUCAGCCAUAACAUUAAAACCACUGA